GAUGAACGCUGGCGGCGUGCCUAAUACAUGCAAGUCGAGCGAACGGACGAGAAGCUUGCUUCUCUGAUGUUAGCGGCGGACGGGUGAGUAACACGUGUAUAACCUACCUAUAAGACUUGGAUAACUUCGGGAAACCGGAGCUAAUACCGGAUAAUAUUUUGAACCGCAUGGUUCAAAAGUGAAAUACGGUCUUUCUGUCUCUUAUAGAUGGAUCCGCGCUGCAUUAGCUAGUUGGUAAGGUAACGGAUUACCAAGGCAACGAUGCAUAGCCGACCUGAGAGGGUGAUCGGAGACACUGGAACGGAGACACGGAACAGAAUACGACGGGAGGCAGCAGUAGGGAAGAUUACGCAAUGGGCGAAAGCAGGACGGAGGAAGGCAGAGUGAGUGAUGAAGGUCUUCGGAUCGGAAAACUCUGUUAUUAGGGAAGAAAAAAUGUGUAAGUAAAUGAGAACAGCUUGACGGUAACUAAUAAGAAAGCCACGGCUAACUACGUG
rnacentral:rRNA from 1 species